AGUGAACGCUGGCGGUAGGCCUAACACAUGCAAGUCGAACGGCAGCACAGUAAGAGCUUGCUCUUACGGGUGGCGAGUGGCGGACGGGUGAGGAAUACAUCGGAAUCUACUUUUUCGUGGGGGAUAACGUAGGGAAACUUACGCUAAUACCGCAUACGACCUACGGGUGAAAGCAGGGGAUCUUCGGACCUUACGCGAUUGAAUGAGCCGAUGUCGGAUUAGCUAGUUGGCGGGGUAAAGGCCCACCAAGGUGACGAUCCGUAGCUGGUCUGAGAGGAUGAUCAGCCACACUGGAAAUGAGACACGGUCCAGACUCCUACGGGAGGCAGCAGUGGGGAAUAUUGGACAAUGGGCGCAAGCCUGAUCCAGCCAUACCGCGUGGGUGAAGAAGGCCUUCGGGUUGUAAAGCCCUUUUGUUGGGAAAGAAAAGCAGCAGGUUAAUACCCCGCUGUUCUGACGGUACCCAAAGAAUAAGCACCGGCGAACUUCGG
rnacentral:rRNA from 1 species